GCGGGAGAAACGGACGGACAACCGACCAAACGAACGAACGCACGGAUGCACAGACUAGAAACAUAAUACCCAUAAAAGGGACAUACAAAUUUAUUGUUGAAAGGGAAAAAAGUGAUUUGGCAAAAAUGAAAGUAAGGUAGAGAUUAGAGGGAGGCAGGACCUUUUUCGAGGCGUCGGGAUUUGGUGUUUUUAAGCUCGGGAUUUGGGGAUUGAUCCUUACGGGAUCCUGGAAUAUAUUUUUCGAUUUCGGGAUUUCGUGAUAUGAAUUUCUUUCAAUUCUGCAUCUCGGGAUUUCAUUGUUUUAAGCCCGGGAUUUCGGGAUCAGGACCCCUCCGACCAC
rnacentral:lncRNA from 1 species